AGCAGUGCGGCGGCUGCGUUCUUGCUCAGCCACCGCCUCGGCGCCCGCCCGCGCCCGCCGGCCCGCCGGCCGGCCAUGGCAGGUGAGGAGCAGAGGUCGGGCGGGGGCGCGGGCCUGACGCGCCCGAGGUGUCCGCGGGAGCCGGAGGCGGCGGCUGCCCCGCGGGCCCAGCGACUUGCAGCGGUGCUUCUCGCAGGUCAAGGCGGCCGUCGACGAGGACGUGGCCGAAGGGCUGGAGCACUCGAUCCUCUGACGUUCUUCAGCUUCACGUCAGUUCUUGCUCCCUUCUCCAGUGAUGUAUUUUAAAGUUCCUGCUCCAGAUUUUACUCUUGAACUUUACGGCGUUGCUUGAAGUAGGUGGAUGUUUCCCUUAGUCACAGUCUCAGAGUCUCGAGUAAUUCAUUCCGUCUCAGUGGGACUUCUGCCGGCCAGAACCCACGCAUCACUCCAGGGAGCCAGCUAAGGAAAGGGAAGAGUGUCACAGGGGCUGGCUCUCAGCUUAGUUCCUCUGAGUGUGGACAACAGUGUCCUGAAGGGCUGCUGGCGCCGGAUGUUGGAACAGAGAAACCCAGCACUGCCUCUCGAGACCCCCAGUUACACAGAGACUGGCAAGCAUGUGGGCCAUGGCAGCGGCUUGAGAGCGGCACACGUGGACAUGGAGGAGCACCCAGGACGCGGACGGCGAGGGGAGAAGGGAAGGAAGUCGGGGCGGGGGGUAGUGUUCCAGAUUGAGGGGCUUGGAGUGGAGAUUGGAGAGAGCCCGGUGCAUCCGGAAAACCAGUCCUGGUGUGCUGGUCUGGCAAAGAAGGGAGUGCCGUGGUGAGGGCAGACUGGCAGGCCAGAGGGAGGAACCAACGCCUUGAAUUGUGGUUCGAAGUGACUUGGCGGCAUCACACUUGGGGCACUUGGACGUACGUGUUGGCACACAGAGUCACUCAGAUCUUCUGAACGCCGAUUCGUUUCUUCACACGAGGUCAGGAAAGACCAGUGCUGAUCUCAUCAGAGAAGCCCUGGUGGAAAACUGCCGGGAAUAAAAGCCGCCCUCACUCUAUGGGAGAAUACAAAGUCUACAGUACCUGUCAAAGUCACAGACCAGAGUUUGACUGUUUGAAAAGUCUAGAAAUUGAGGGAAAAAUUAAUAAAAUUGGAUGGUUACCGCAACAGAAUGCUGCUUACUUUCUGCUUUCUGCACAUGUCUUCAUUACAUGCCAGCAGCAGCAGGAUCGGCACUCGUGUCUAUGGAUGCAGCCCCGCCAGGCAGGCCAGGCACGUCGCUAAGUCUGGUCACCGCACUGACGUAGACCCUUUUCGUGGCCGCGCCUCCUUCCCACCUGAUCUGGUAAACCCACUGUGUGCGCUGCCCCCUGCCUGCGAUCCUGAGCCUUAGCCCAGCGCCCUAGACAUCACACCGGGGCAUCACACCGGCUGACAUGGAGGAGCUGGCGGAGGUGGUCACGGUGGCCGUGUUCCACCUGCGCCGCUGCUGCGUGCUGGGCUACAGCAGCAGCAGCAGAGGGGGACCGGCAGGCUGUGCAACCGCUGUUCCGAGUGUAAGUGCCCGGCAGGCUUAAACGCCUCCUUUAGGUCGUGUGGUCUCCAGUGCUAGACAGUGGUUCCCUGUGCUCUGCCUGGGCCCACCAGCACAGGCCCGGCCCUGUCUCCUGAGGCCCAGCGAGGCUCUGCCUGGUGCUGAACAGAGCGGGGCGCGAGGCCGAGCUGUCAUGGUGGCACCUUUGCACCCUGCCACGCUGCAUUGGGGCCUCUGCCAGGGCCGCAGGACGCCCUUGGCCGUGACGUCUCGGUGGUGGAAUGGGCUCCGCGCACAGAGGGCUUGCAGGAUGGAAGCCCCUUCCCUCAGGUGAAAGGCCAGCACUUUGACCUGCUGGGCCGAAAAGUCCCUCCCAGGCGAGGAACGGACUGGUUUGGUUCCUAUUUUUAGCCGUAGCGAACAGGCCCUGGUUUCUACUGGUUUUGUAGAAAAUCAGUGGUCCGUGUGUCACGGACACGCAUGUGCCGUGUGUGCUAGAAGCUUGGCCCCCGCAUCCCAACACUGAGGUGGCACCGUCCUGGUGAGAGCGCCGGACUUCGUGUCCCCACAGGAGGCCUGUCCGGUGCCUCCCAGCGCAGCGCGGGCGGCCCCAGCGCUGCCACCGCGAGGCGUGCUUGACGGCUGGCUCUCGGUGACCUCUCUGCCGUAUUCUGUCUCUCUGAGGCUGAAGUGCGUUUUAAAGAAGUCUGUACUUCUGGUAGAAUUCCCGCAAAGAAAAAUGAGUCUUUUACAAUGUUUGGCCUGUGUUUUCAAGGCAGCACUCUGGCGUAACCAGGUUUAGAUUGCAGCGGUUGUUUUGUCAGCACAUUUAUUUGAGUAAAUGCUCGGUAUUGCCACCAGCUCGCUUUAAUUAACUUCAGAUGCAGAGCCAGCAAACAUAGGUUCCAACAUUAAGAAAAAAAUCAAAAGCAGCCGAAAAUGAAAGGAGGUCCAGACCUCCUGGCCCAGAACUGACCGAGCCAAGAGCGCGGCAGAGCUGGGGCACUGGUGUCAGUACGCGGUGGGGGCCUCAGCGCAGGCGGCGGGCUGUCGAGUUACUGCUGCAAAGGCAAGGUUUGCCAAGGGAGCGUUUGGAAUCUUCCCGGAAGCGGUAACUCGAUUUUGUUAGCGUCCAUCGUGACUGCUGAAUAGCGAAGAAAACCCCUUCCCUGGCGGCUAUGACAGACGAGCUGUCCUGGUGGUUCAAACCUGGACUGCGGCGUUCCCGGCUGCGGGUCCCUGAGCAGCUCCCGGCCUCGCUGGCCCCGAGCGCAGCUGCAUCCUCACACGAUGCCCUUCACGUCUUUCUGGGGCGGGACCUGGCACCAGUUUGGCAGCAACAGCAUCAGGUCAGUGGCCUCGCCAGAUGUGGUCUGACGGUCGCAGGGAGCAGUCUGGUUCUGUCCAGGGCCUCGUCCGUGGAGAUGUUGGUUCCGAGCCGGGGCGAGCCGGGGGCCUGAGCUUCAGAACAAGUGGGGGCGGGAGCAGUGUCGGGGCCAAGCCCUCUGGUGUCUCGGGUUGGGGGGCCUGAGUCCUACCUGGACUUGAAAAGGAUUUGUUCUCAGGUGUUUAAACAGAAGCUGAGAACGCUGUGUUUUCCAGUUUUUGAAGAGCCGGAAGACCCCAGCAGCAGGUCCUUCUCCUCAGAAAAUAUCUCCUCCGUCUCCGACGUGAAGUUCAGCCACAGUGGUCGGUACGUGCUGACCCAGGACUACCCGUCGGUGAAGGUGUGGGACCUCAACAUGGAGAGCCGGCCCGUGGAGACCCACCAGGGGAGGCCACGACGGGGCUGGCCCGCGCUGUGCCCACGACCACCCCGACCCUCCUGUGCUCCCCGUCAGGGUGCACCGGCACCUCCUACGCAGCGGCCGGCUGUGCUGCCUGCACGAGAACCACUGCGUCUUCGACAAGUUCGGGGGCUGCGGAGCGGCUGCGACGGGGGAGGCCGCCGGGGCUGCGGGGGGCUGCGGGCUGACGGUGGGCACGUCCCGCGUCCGUCUGCCAUGACGGCUUUGAGGGGACAGUGGGAUGUGUGGCCACCCUGUGCAAACGGCAGGCGCGGUGCGUGGUUUGCAGGGGCCGCAUUCAAAUGCUCAGUGGGAUGAUACGCUUUCCUUCUUCACUGUUUCCAACGUGAGUGACGUGGGAGUGAGCGGGGAGCACCACGUACUGUGAGUGUGGACGGGCCACGUUCCCGCUUGCCUUUGCUGCCGGGGAGCAGCGGAGGGAGACGCCCUCGGCUGGCUGUCGCGCUUGGACAGAAGCGGAGGCGGCCGGCGGGAGCGUGGCCCCGACGCCGGGUAUUCCCCGUGCACGUUCUUAGAGGUGCCGCUGAGACCGUGGUGCUUAGGGCUCUGUCUUCGGUGCCCCACGGAGAGCUCGUCCCCCGUGGUGGGGGCUCUCGCGUCGUCGGUCGGGUCUGCACAGCGUCGAGCCUGCCCGUCGUGUGGGCCACAGAGGCCUGGCCCCUGGCCGCGGGGUGGGGACGGACGUCCUGGCUCAGACACCAAGAACGUCGGAUGUGGCACGUGCACCUCCUCACGCGCACAGCUGAGCUCACGGGAGCUAGGAGGGGCCCUCGGGGCUGUGGGAGAGGCAUCCGUCCAACGUCCACACGGAGCCCGAGGGAAGCUUGUCUUCUGAGACUUGGGUUGGGCGGAUAAAAGUCGUCUGGGAUAAGACACCAGAGCCUGCCUCCCUCGCCUAGAAGUCUGACUUAGGGCAGGUGCGCCAGGCAGGCAGCUCUGGGCAACGCACGGAGGAACCCUUUCAGGUCCAGGCCUCUCCCGUUCUCAAGCUGGCGUGCCACCUAAGUGUCCCCUGGAUGCUGGCUGAGGACACGGAGCCCCUGUCGUAGACGGGACUGCACUCCUCGCGGCACAGCACAGCAGCACGUGCGCCACAGACACCCCAUGGGCGGGCACGGGGGCCGGGCAGGGGCCACUCGAGGGGGUUGGUGCCAGGGCCACGCAGGCUGGGCCGGCAGCAGCCACAGCCGAGACACGAUGUGGCCCGGGUGCAGCCAGAAGCUUUCUGGUGACGUUCACUUGUUGAUUCACUCUUGCCGACGUCCCCUGCCCCCCUGCCCGGGACGGCACUGCCGAACAGUUCCACUUUGUCCUGCUCUGGGUUGUAUAAGCAGACGUGGACACGGCCACUUCCUUGCAAGUCCACUUCCCCUAUGUUUGGCAGUGUUCCCACCUGGGUAGCAGGGGACACCUGGCCAGGUGCUCAGGAAGCUUCUCACACUGAGUGGAGGAGCGGCCAGUGGGGACACCCCCUCCCUGGCACGUGUUGUCCGUCAGGAACUCUGAACUUGUAAAGUUGGUCGCUUUUAUUUCUGUUGUGUAUAGCCCUUGUGGUCAAUGUUGAUAGUAAAAUACUCCAUCCUGG